rnacentral:lncRNA from 1 species
GGGGGAAGACUAGAGAAGACUUAAGUUGGGUGACCAACUUAUAAGAAAUUGAAAGUAUUUAUAUAAGCAAAAUCAAAAUUUACUUAUAUUCAUUUUUAGUCAAAUUGGCUAAAGUUUAGAGAGAGAAAGAGAAAAGAGAAAGAAGAACAAUGUUUUUUUUUAAACUCCCUGUUAUCCGUUCCAAAUUUUCUUCUGUCUCUUUAUUACUAAGCAAUUAUAUUCCCAAGUCUUCAAGCUCUCUUGAGUUCGGUUGUAACCAUUAAAUUUAUGGAGAUGAUGAAGCCACAAACUUGAGAUUAAUAAACUCUAUUCCAUUUCAGUACAUUUUCCUCUUGGAAUUUGCCAAGUAUAAGCGAUCUCCUCCCAUCCCAAAUCAGCUCUUUUUUUUCUUUUCCUUUUAAAUUGCUGAAUCCAUGUACCUCAAACCUUUAUUAAAUUCUUGUUCUAUAAAAAAAAACGCACCUUGCUUGUUCAGCUAAGCAAAGAAGGUGGUCAAGGAAGUUCAAGUGUGAGCUGGGUUGGAUCUGUUUUGAAUAGCAGGGGCAGAAAACGGGUGGAGUAUAGCUGAAUUAUAAGAAGUAAACUCAGAUCAUUGAGCUAUUAUUAUAAGGUGAGUUCUUAUUUUGGUUUUAGUAUUAUCAAUUGAAAAGUUUAUAUUAUAUUUUUAUAAUUGAGCUGUGACAAGUGAGUUGUAAAUUAGAUGGAGCUUGGUUGUUGUGGACUGAAGUUAGAGCCAAGGAGUAUAAGAUUGGUUGUACGAAGUAAUAAGGUGGCAAAAAAAAAAUUGGGCUAGAACAAUGACCAAACCCCAUGAAAUCUGCGUUUUAAGGAAACGCACACCAAGUGUUUGAUAAAAGUCCUCUAUGGACUGUUUUGGUUAAAACGAAGAAUUAAGUAAAGCUGAGGCCAAGGUUACAUAUAUAUACUAUAUGUAGAUAAUUAAAGGAUUUGAGCAAAUCAAAUUAGAACGAAAAGAAAUUUUAAGCCAAAACGAAAAAUCGAAAGAUAGUGUGUCGGGUCACUUUUGGGCUAACUGUUUUGGCUAGUUAGACUCGCUGGAAAAUUAUAAUUUUCUGGGAUCUUGUAGUGUGCAAUCUCAGCUAGCCAUAUCCUCUGGAACAGACUCGUUCCGAGUUUAGAGGACCGAGUUAUGAUGUGCCAAAGCGGUGCGUCGAAUAUGUCCAAAAUCUGGAAAUCAGAUUCGAAGCAGUCCCUUCCAUGAAUUUUCUGGAAUUUUGUGCUUGGAAUUUGAAGAUGGUCUAAGAACGAAAGUUGUAGCCCAGAAAGUUAGCUUCACGUGGGCUCAAGAAUCGCUAAAAUUAAAAAAAAUUUGAAAUGAAAAAGUUGACUGUUUUAGCGAGAGAGGGUAAAGCUAGGAAAGAAUGAAAAACAGUUUUGAACGCCCCUUUUUGAACACUGUUUUAGACUGUCUAUCUAAUCUGAAAUGGGUGUCAAAUAAUUUUUAAAAAUAGUUUAAUAUGAUGUUUACAGCAUAUCCAAAGUUGGAUGUCAUCGGACUUAUGAGAUAGAAACUAAAAAUCUGCAAAGUUGCUACGCCGCAACAGGGGCUGCUGCCCAACAGCAGUAGCAACUGCAGAUGGCCACUUUGGCACAUGGUUUUGAGUGCUUUAACCUGUCCGAAAUGCAUGGCUAAUAUUUUCUAAAAAUAGUCUCAUACACCAAGUAUGUCAUAUUCAAAAAUCAAAACAAUACGAUGUGUGAGCCAAAAGUUAUAAGAUUGCGAAGGAAGCACAUUGAGAACAGAGCUGUUGCCCACGACAGCAGCAGGUAGCAACGAGGAGUAGAUUUGGCAAGCUAUUUUAACAUAAUUUGUUAAUUUACUUGUGAAAUUGAGUUUAUAUUUUUUUAAAUGAGUGGGUACACCACCUAUAUAGUAUUUAGAAUCCAACAUAAAUGAAUCAAAGUCGUGGGGAAAUAAAGAAUGACAAAACAAGGGUCAAGAUAAAAAGGGGGUGUUGCCUAACGGCAGCAACAGUUAACUAGAAAUGGCCAUGAUGGCUAUUUCGGUAAUCUAGUAGGGCUAAGUACUUAAGUUUGCUAGUUUACCCAUAAAAGAUUACUUGUGAUGUUUUUAAAAUAAACAUGUAUAUGAGAUAUAAUUUACCUUAAAUUCAAUACAAAGGAUUUGAUAGAUGUCCAAGAUUGGGGCUGUUUAGCCAAGCAAGGCUAUGCCAAGGGGUUGUUAAUGCUUGGCCUAGGGGAUGUUUGGUGUUCUAAAGAAAUGUGAUGGGUUUUAAUGUGUUAUCUUAAGGUAAUGAAUCUAUAAAAUAGUAUGGAAGGUAUAACUUACAUAUAUAGACCAUAGCUACGCUCAAUGUAUAAAGUGAAUUACGAGUGCACCUUGUAUACUUAGAAUACGUAUAAAGGUAUGAGAUAACCAUGUAAUAAAUUACAAAUGGUUUAUAAAUCGAAAGUGUAGAAUAUUCAUGUUUAAAAGCUAUGUCAAAGGCUANNNNNNNNNNNNNNNNNNNNNNNNNNNNNNNNNNNNNNNNNNNNNNNNNNNNNNNNNNNNNNNNNNNNNNNNNNNNNNNNNNNNNNNNNNNNNNNNNNNNUUUAUACUUCAAAACUAAACGGUUUUUGAAAUACAAAGCAAGAUAUACGUAAACAGGGUUGAAAACUCAUUGUUGACAUAUAUAAGCUAUGUAUAUACAUAAAAUAUACAAAUAGCUUAUAUUUACCUAUGGGCUAAGCGAGCGAGGCAUGAAUUUGUAUUACGGUUAAGGUAUAUAUGCAAAAGCAUAUAUAUACUUUGAGUAUGCAUUAAAAGUAAAAACUACUGUUAUAUAAACACGUUAAGCAUGGAAAUCUAUUAUACAUGCAAAAUGAAGUUUAAGUUGCUCACGAAAGUAGAGUUAAGCUAUAAAUACACAAGGGAUGUCACAAAUGCAUUAUAAGACUAUAAGACUACAUAUAGAUGCGUGUAAAGUCCAUAAAUGCAUUAUAAAAGUUUUAUAAACCAUAAAUGCACUAUAAUGAUGUUUAAAAGUUAUGUUGAAACUUUUUGCAAGUUGAUGGCUAUAUUAAGCCAAAACUCUGAAAUUUCUAAAGAAAUAAGAAAGUUUUUUAAAAACAUACAUAAAGAGAUGUUAUGGCUUAUAUGAAUGUUUAUAGCUAUACAAGUUAUGUGACGUGAAAAUGUGGCUAAUGUAUACAUAUAGGUGAACAUAACUGUGUAGGAUUCGUGAGGUGAAGUUAAACUAAGAUUUAUCUCAAUACUCAUCAAUCAAG